rnacentral:rRNA from 1 species
UAGGGAAUCUUCCGCAAUGGGCGAAAGCCUGACGGAGCAACGCCGCGUGAGUGAUGAAGGUCUUCGGAUCGUAAAACUCUGUUAUUAGGGAAGAAUAAAUGUGUAAGUAACUAUGCACGUCUUGACGGUACCUAAUCAGAAAGCCACGGCUAACUACGUGCCAGCAGCCGCGGUAAUACGUAGGUGGCAAGCGUUAUCCGGAAUUAUUGGGCGUAAAGCGCGCGUAGGCGGUUUUUUAAGUCUGAUGUGAAAGCCCACGGCUCAACCGUGGAGGGUCAUUGGAAACUGGAAAACUUGAGUGCAGAAGAGGAGAGUGGAAUUCCAUGUGUAGCGGUGAAAUGCGUAGAUAUAUGGAGGAACACCAGUGGCGAAGGCGACUUUCUGGUCUGUAACUGACGCUGAUGUGCGAAAGCGUGGGGAUCAAACAGG